GAACGACCGGUGCUUGCACUGGUCAAUCUAGUGGCGAACGGGUGAGUAACACGUGGGUAACCUGCCCAUCAGAGGGGGAUAACAUUCGGAAACGGAUGCUAAAACCGCAUAGGUCUUCGAACCGCAUGGUUUGAAGAGGAAAAGAGGCGCAAGCUUCUGCUGAUGGAUGGACCCGCGGUGCAUUAGCUAGUUGGUGAGGUAACGGCUCACCAAGGCCGUGAUGCAUAGCCGACCUGAGAGGGUGAUCGGCCACAUUGGGACUGAGACACGGCCCAAACUCCUACGGGAGGCAGCAGUAGGGAAUCUUCCGCAAUGGACGCAAGUCUGACGGAGCAACGCCGCGUGAGUGAAGAAGGUUUUCGGAUCGUAAAACUCUGUUGUUAGAGAAGAACAAGUGCUAGAGUAACUGUUAGCGCCUUGACGGUAUCUAACCAGAAAGCCACGGCUAACUACGUGCCAGCAGCCGCGGUAAUACGUAGGUGGCAAGCGUUGUCCGGAUUUAUUGGGCGUAAAGCGAGCGCAGGCGGUUCCUUAAGUCUGAUGUGAAAGCCCCCGGCUCAACCGGGGAGGGUCAUUGGAAACUGGGGGACUUGAGUGCAGAAGAGGAGAGUGGAAUUCCAUGUGUAGCGGUGAAAUGCGUAGAUAUAUGGAGGAACACCAGUGGCGAAGGCGACUCUCUGGUCUGUAACUGACGCUGAGGCUCGAAAGCGUGGGUAGCAAACAGGAUUAGAUACCCUGGUAGUCCACGCCGUAAACGAUGAGUGCUAAGUGUUGGAGGGUUUCCGCCCUUCAGUGCUGCAGUUAACGCAUUAAGCACUCCGCCUGGGGAGUACGACCG
rnacentral:rRNA from 1 species